rnacentral:rRNA from 1 species
ACGAACGCUGGCGGCGUGCUUCACCCAUGCAAGUCGAACGGAAAGGCCCUGCUUUUGUGGGGUGCUCGAGUGGCGAACGGGUGAGUAACACGUGAGUAACCUGCCCUUGACUUUGGGAUAACUUCAGGAAACUGGGGCUAAUACCGGAUAGGAGCUCCUGCUGCAUGGUGGGGUUUGGAAAGUUUCGGCGGUUGGGGAUGGACUCGCGGCUUAUCAGCUUGUUGGUGGGGUAGUGGCUUACCAAGGCUUUGACGGGUAGCCGGCCUGAGAGGGUGACCGGCCACAUUGGGACUGAGAUACGGCCCAGACUCCUACGGGAGGCAGCAGUGGGGAAUAUUGCACAAUGGGCGGAAGCCUGAUGCAGCAACGCCGCGUGCGGGAUGACGGCCUUCGGGUUGUAAACCGCUUUCGCCUGUGACGAAGCGUGAGUGACGGUAAUGGGUAAAGAAGCACCGGCUAACUACGUG